AUUGAACGCUGGCGGCGUGCUUUACACAUGCAAGUCGAACGGCAGCACGAAAGAGUUUACUCUUUUGGUGGCGAGUGGCGAACGGGUGAGUAAUACAUCGGAACGUGCCUAUUAGUGGGGGAUAGCUUGGCGAAAGCCAAAUUAAUACCGCAUACAACCUACGGGUAAAAGCAGGGGACCUUCGGGCCUUGCGCUAAUGGAGCGGCCGAUGGCAGAUUAGGUAGUUGGUGGGGUAAGGCCUACCAAGCCUGCGAUCUGUAGCUGGUUUGAGAGGAUGAUCAGCCACACUGGGACUGAGACACGGCCCAGACUCCUACGGGAGGCAGCAGUGGGGAAUUUUUGGACAAUGGGGGAAACCCUGAUCCAGCGACGCCGCGUGCAGGAAGAAGGCCUUCGGUUGUAAC
rnacentral:rRNA from 1 species